GGGGGGGUGCCAGAGUGGACGAUUGGGGCCGCCUGCUAAGCGGUUUCCCUGCGAAAGCGGGGACAAGGGUUCGAAUCCCUUCCCUCCCGCCA
rnacentral:tRNA from 1 species